UACCAGCUCCCCGAGUGGUCGGGGCGAUUAUUGGGCCUAAAGCGUCCGUAGCCGGCCUAGUAAGUCUCCUGUUAAAUCCAGCGAUCCAAUCGCUGGACUGCAGGAGAUACUGCUAGGCUAGGGGGCGGGAGAGGCUGGCGGUAUUCCCGAGGGAGGGGCGAAAUCCUGAGAUCUCGGGAGGACCACCAGUGGCGAAGGCGGCCAGCUGGAACGCGCCCGACGGUGAGGGACGAAAGCCAGGGGAGCGAACCGG
rnacentral:rRNA from 1 species